rnacentral:rRNA from 1 species
CCUACGGGAGGCAGCAGUGAGGAAUAUUGGUCAAUGGGCGCGAGCCUGAACCAGCCAAGUAGCGUGAAGGAUGACUGCCCUACGGGUUGUAAACUUCUUUUAUAAAGGAAUAAAGUGAGGCACGUGUGCCUUUUGUAUGUACUUUAUGAAUAAGGAUCGGCUAACUCCGUGCCAGCAGCCGGGGUAAUACGGAGGAUACGAGCGUUUUCCGGAUUUUUUGGGGUUAAAGGGAGGGUCGAUGGGAUGUUAAGUCAGUUGUGAAAAUUUGCGGGUCAAACGUAAAAGUGCCAUUGAUACUGGUAGCCUUGAGUACAGUAGAAGUAGGCGGAAUUCGUGGUGUAGCGGUGAAAUGCUUAGAUAUCACGAAGAACUCCGAUUGCGAAGGCAGCCUACU